GACGAACGCUGGCGGCGUGCUUAACACAUGCAAGUCGAGCGGUAAGGCCCUUUCGGGGGUACACGAGCGGCGAACGGGUGAGUAACACGUGGGUGACCUGCCCUCAGCUCUGGGAUAAGCCUGGGAAACCGGGUCUAAUACUGGAUAUGACUCCAUGACGCAUGUUGUGGGGUGGAAAGCCUUGUGCGGCUGAGGAUGGGCCCGCGGCCUAUCAGCUUGUUGGUGGGGUGANGGCCUACCAAGGCGACGACGGGUAGCCGGCCUGAGAGGGCGACCGGCCACACUGGGACUGAGACACGGCCCAGACUCCUACGGGAGGCAGCAGUGGGGAAUCUUGCGCAAUGGGCGAAAGCCUGACGCAGCAACGCCGCGUGGGGAUGA
rnacentral:rRNA from 1 species